rnacentral:tRNA from 1 species
AUGGGUGUCGUCCAGUGGCCCAGGACGCUUACGUCUCCGUCGCCGACCUUGAUCUCGGGAGGGACACAACUUCAGAGCGUGCCCGGUGCGCAGAUGAGGGUUACUCCUUUGGGAGGGUGAUGUUGCAGGUUCGAGUCCUGCCGCCC